CCAGACUGACAGGACAGGGAAUCUGAGAGAUGUGAUGGUGUCGGAACUCCUGACCCUUGAUCCAUGGCCCUACGAUGUAUAUAACGCCAAUCUGAACUCACUUUCUCCCUUUGAAAGCUGCAGAAAGAAAAAGCAAACAACUUCCGACUGGAUCCUACUUCGUUCAUUGAUUCAUGUUCAAGACUACAGUACUCCAAAAGAAGAACCAGCCUACAGAACGGUUGCAACAAGAAGAAAAUUAUCCAUCCAGCACACCCGGGACCCUAGUGAGGAUAAGCGGUACGGAAGAUGGAUGGAUGAAUGAAUAUAGCUCCAAUAAUAUAGCUCUCCCUGGAGAAAACUCCACCAGCCGUCACUGUGUAACACGGAUGUUUUUGCUCGAACUUAUAGCAGUAGAGUACUGUAUUGUAGUGAAACACAAUCCUUCACAAUGCCAGCCAGAUGAUUGUGAAGCCGUUAGUUUAAUGUAGUAAAAAGACUGAAACUCAAGCCCUCCUCUAAAGAAUAAGAGAGGUCUGUGCAAUCAAGCUUGAUAUUUUUUUUCCCUCAUUUAUCCAUGCAUUCAUUUUCUAUACCACUCGUACUCAUUCGGGUCGUUUUUCUUCCAGCAAAUGAAACAAAAAUUCUAAGACAUUGACAGUAGUGAUGAGCAAGGUUUUGUUCCCUGAUGGGGAGACAGCUGGUUAAAAUGUGUUCAUAAGGAUCAUAUCAAAGAAAUCGCAUGAAGAAAUGUAUUCAUUUGGCAAAUGUGUUUUUACCAAAAUAUGUUUACCACAGGGAGAAAUACAUCUGUCGUUAUU